rnacentral:lncRNA from 1 species
CUGCCUCUGUCUCAUGCGUUCAUCUAUUCUGGAAAUGAACGAUACUAAAUCCUCUAAAUUUUCCGGAAGUUCUCUUGUGGCAAUCUCAUCUAGAAUUUCAUCAGACAACCCAUUCAAGAAUACAUCCAUAAAAGCUUGUUCGUUCCAUUUCACUUCUGCUGCCAAUGAUCUAAACUCUAAAGCAUAUUCUACAAGGGUCCUAUUCUGUUGUUUAAGGCGUAACAGGGAUCUGGCCGC